CACCUGAGAAGAAAGCGUCAAAGCUCGCUCAUCCUACCUCCGUCAUACCGACAUCACAUCCGAACCCUUUCUCCUUACUGAGCUGUUCAAUUCAAAUAUUGAAGCACUUAUGCUAGAACUAGUAAUGUGAAUCUAACAUUCUCACAAAUGCAAGUGUAAAUCAGAUCGAAUAAAUCACUGAUAAUUAACGGCCUUAUUGAGGAUACUUCAGCAACAACCCAAGAAAACCCUGAACACAACACCGUUAACCUAACACAAGAACAUUUCAAGAAAGAUUAAAAGACGCAGAAGGAACUCGGCAAACAAUGAACCCCGCCUGUUUACCAAAAACAUCGCCUCUUGCUAAACAACAUGUAUAAGAGGUCCAGCCUGCCCAGUGACUAUAUGUUCAACGGCCGCGGUAUUCUGACCGUGCAAAGGUAGCGUAAUCACUUGUCUUUUAAAUAAAGACUAGUAUGAAUGGCACCACGAAGGUUCAACUGUCUCCUGCAUCCAGUCCAUUAAACUGACCUCCCCGUGCAGAGGCGGGGAUACACCCAUAAGACGAGAAGACCCUAUGGAGCUUUAAACUUACGGCAACUGCUAACUAACCUCACCCCACACGGGAUAUCAUCUAACUAAGCAACAAUGACCUAAAGUUUUCGGUUGGGGCGACCACGGAGAAAAAAAAAUCCUCCUUGAUGUACGAGGCCUUACCCUCUUAGCCAAGAACGACAGUUCUAAGCAACAAAACAUUUGACCACUAUUGAUCCAGUCUUACUGAUCAACGAACCAAGUUACCCUAGGGAUAACAGCGCAAUCCAUUUCGAAAGUUCCUAUCGACAAAUGGGUUUACGACCUCGAUGUUGGAU
rnacentral:rRNA from 1 species